rnacentral:rRNA from 1 species
GGCGAGUGAAGCGGCAACAGCUCAGAUUUGAAAUCUGGCCCUCACGGGGUCCGAGUUGUAAUCUGUAGAGGAUGCUUUUGGCGACGCGCCUUCCGAGUCCCCUGGAACGGGGCGCCAGAGAGGGUGAGAGCCCCGUAUGGUUGGACGCCGAACCUCUGUAAAGCUCCUUCGACGAGUCGAGUAGUUUGGGAAUGCUGCUCAAAAUGGGAGGUAAAUUUCUUCUAAAGCUAAAUACCGGCCAGAGACCGAUAGCGCACAAGUAGAGUGAUCGAAAGAUGAAAAGCACUUUGAAAAGAGGGUCAAAUAGCACGUGAAAUUGCUGAAAGGGAAGCGCUUGUGACCAGACUUGCGCCCGGUUGAUCAUCCAGCGUUCUCGCUGGUGCACUCUGCCGGGUUCAGGCCAGCAUCGGCUCUCCCAGGGGGAUAAAGGUCGCGGGAACGUAGCUCUCUCCGGGGAGUGUUAUAGCCCGUGGCGGAAUGCCCUUAGGGGGGGCCGAGGCUCGCGUUCGCAAGGAUGCUGGCGUAAUGGUCACCAGCGACCCGUCUUGAAACACGGACCAAGGAGUCAAGCAUUAGGGCGAGUCUUUGGGUGUAAAACCCGCAGGCGCAAUGAAAGUGAACGGAGGUGAGAGCUUCGGCGCAUCAUCGACCGAUCCUGAUGUUCUCGGAUGGAUUUGAGUAAGAGCCUUACCGCUUGGACCCGAAAGAUGGUGAACUAUGCCUGAAUAGGGUGAAGCCAGAGGAAACUCUGGUGGAGGCUCGCAGCGGUUCUGACGUGCAAAUCGAUCGUCAAAUUUGGGCAUGGGGGCGAAA